AAUACUAACAUGCCUAAUACUUCUGCACAGUACUGUAUAUAUUAACAUUUUAUUAGUGUUAUUAUAAAAGAAUGAGUAUGCAGUUGUGACAACAAUCUAUAGAGUUUUUAAUGAGAGUUUUAAAGCAAGGUUGUCUGCAUUCAGUGUUUAUAUAAUGUUUAAUAACUUUUAUAUACAUGUAUAAAUAAACCUAUGUAUGUUUUUGAUUCAACAGCUUCCACUGGAAAUCCUCAGGGAAGUUAUUUUGUCGGCGGGUGACUCUGCAUAUUUGACACUUUCUCUGGUUUGCAGAUGGUUUAGGGAUGUGCUCCGAAGUUUUUCAGAAAGCGGCAAAGUUUGCUUGGCUAGACCUUGUGGCCAACUGGAAGAAUUGUCCUCCUGUCUCCUGACCGGAACGAGUUCAGACGGAUGUACAGCAUCAGGGAAUGCUUGCAGUGCAGAGCCCUUUUCAAGUUUAACCCACCAGGGUACAGAGAAGAGGCCGGCGUGGUGAUCUUCUGGGCUUUUGUUUACACAGGAUUUUGUUCCAAGGACUGUUUUUUUUUUCUUUUUUGCGGCAUGAAACACAUUUGUGUGUUAAGUUCAUUGAAGGGAAAUAGAGAAUGGACUGAGAUCAACUGGUUUUGAUGUAUUAAUUGAUGUCAUUUAAAGUUAAACUUUGCAGUGUAUAAUGUUUUAAUAAAAAAGCUAUGGAAAACA